rnacentral:rRNA from 1 species
UUUGGUUAAGUUAGAAAGGGCGCACGGUGGAUGCCUUGACACUAGGAGUCGAUGAAGGACGGGACUAACGCCGAUAUGCUUCGGGGAGCUGUAAGUAAGCUUUGAUCCGAAGAUUUCCGAAUGGGGAA